CACAGCUUUUUUUAUUAAGCAAAGCUGUUAACCCUGCAGCCUGACAGAAAGCAGAUCACGAGGAGGAGAAGGUGUGUCAGCUGAGUGCUUCAGGCUUCUGAAGGCACUGACCAGGGCCUGAACUUUGCUGCUCCCCAGCUCUUACAGAGACGUGGCAGUGUUUGCUGUGGGUACCAGGCCUGAAAUAUCAGCAGUGAUAUUGUGUGAGGAAAGGAAUAUGUUCAAAACCUUGACUCGUCAUUCAUCAGUGGAGCUGACAUCAACAGAAACUUUUCAAUAUAUAUCAAAUGAUAGUGGAGACAGAAGCAAGGAAUAUAAACUGCUCAACAUCAUUAUCUUCCUACUGAAUCUAGCAGCUUUGCAAACAAACACUCACCCAAAACGGAAUCUGGCUGAUCAGAGCUCUUAACUGGAAAGGGAUGAGAUGGAGGUUAAUGCAGAAGAGAAUAGACCUAGAGUAUGACAAAAUAUUAGCAAGUUUCUUCUAAACUGCAGUGCAGAGUUUGCAAAACUUGACUGACAGCUCAGUGUGAUGAAUGGGAGCAAUUCCCUUACAUUUACUUCUGAAGAAAAGGAUCUGGAAACCAGUGGCUUCCAGUGGCUGGGCUGAAUUUUUGCUCCAGACUGAAAUGAGAGGAGCAAUGUCCAUUAUUGCAGCAGCCAGAAAACAAUUAUACAGUCAAAAAGUGAGAAGAUGCUGGUCUCACUAUCUUGGCAUUGAGGAUGGUUAUUUAAUAAAUGCAAUCGCUACCUUUUACUUCAGAACACAUUUUCAAACAGAGAGAAGAGCUUGCAUUCCCAGCUGGAAGGACUCCAGGUAGGGCAGUGUUGCUGCCAGCAUGGACAGUAAUCCCAUUGUAAGGCUCCCCAUUGCACCCCUGUGCACCUAUCCACGAAUAGUGAGGACCCAGAUCUUCAACUCCUGUGGCUUUGGCAAACAAGGAUGCCACAGCAGACCACACACUUAAAAAGAUUACCUGUAUGCAUUAACAUGAAAAAAAAUUAUUAAGUUUUUAAUUUAAAAUAUCAAUGUAUGGGGAAAAUUAUUUUAAACCUCAAAUAUAUUCACACAAUAAAGGCAAUGCUGAUGUUUA